CACAACAAACAUGAUUUGCCAGAUGAAUCUUAAGAUACAAGAUUAAGAGGACGUCUACCUCAAAUAUAUUUCUACCAUCGUAUGGGUGCUCCUAAUAGAAAGAAAGAAAGAAAGAACGUAAGAGAAAUUAAUACUACUAUAUGGCAUACCUGGAUUGGUGCAAUCCUUGAAAAUGGAUUCUGCCAUGAAAGAAACCUCAUCUUCUCUAAUAGGUCUGAGUUCCUCAAGUCUCUUUGCUGAGAAGAGCUCAAGAGUAGACACUCUCCUAACCUUCACAUAAUGAGGACCAUAGUCAGCCCAGAUGAGGUCCUUGCCGUCUCUACUAAACCUUGCAGCCAAUCUAGACCUAUGUCGAUCGGCCAGCUGCUGGUCAUUCUCUUUGAGAACUUGCUUGGCCAGUUCCGCAUUACACACAACAACAUUCAAAGUUGAACCAAACCAAACUGAAACAACUGGUCCGUAAGCCUGAGCCCACUCUGCAAAACAUCUGAACCUAAUAGGCUUGAUGGCAUAGAGGUUCCCAACAAUCGGCCACGGCCGUGGACCGGGUGGUAGCUUGAACCUCAGCCUCUGGUACAGAAUGUAUGCAAGAAGGAGAACAAAGAUCGAAACUAAUACUAAAAGAGGCAGAGCCAUAU